rnacentral:tRNA from 1 species
GGGGGAGUAGUUUACUAGAGAACAUGUGGUUUCGGGCCAUGGGGUGGGUGCUCAAUUCCCCUCCCCUU